CCUACGGGAGGCAGCAGUCGAGAAUCAUUCACAAUGGGGGAAACCCUGAUGGUGCGACGCCGCGUGGGGGAAUGAAGGUCUUCGGAUUGUAAACCCCUGUCAUGUGGGAGCAAAUUAAAAAGAUAGUACCACAAGAGGAAGAGACGGCUAACUCUGUGCCAGCAGCCGCGGUAAUACAGAGGUCUCAAGCGUUGUUCGGAAUCACUGGGCGUAAAGCGUGCGUAGGCUGUUUCGUAAGUCGUGUGUGAAAGGCGCGGGCUCAACCCGCGGACGGCACAUGAUACUGCGAGACUAGAGUAGUGGAGGGGGAACCGGAAUUCUCGGUGUAGCAGUGAAAUGCGUAGAUAUCGAGAGGAACACUCGUGGCGAAGGCAGGUUCCUGGACAUUAACUGACGCUGAGGCACGAAGGCCAGGGGAGCGAAAGGGAUUAGAUACCCGAGUAGUC
rnacentral:rRNA from 1 species